GACCUCUGGAGGCUUGCCUGUCACCUCUCCGGAGUCAGCCCGGACAGUCCGUUAGCCGCGCAGCCCGGGCUUGCCCUCGACGGGUCCUUAAGAUGGGGGCACUCGUCACCUCGCCCAAGGCGCGUCCUCGCUCUAAGGGCCCCGGUAUGGGGGACAGCCUAGCCUCCGAGGCGGACGCCUCCGUGAGUGGCAGCUGCGUUGUGACCUCCGGACAGCAACCCCAGCGGUCCGCGAAACCCUUUCGCUCCCUGAGCCCCCUUGGUCAGUGGCAGUAGGGACACCUGCCAUCGGGGAUGAAAUGACCCCAGCUGGUAAGUGGCGAUGUUGCCAAAGACAUUGAUAGGAUGGAAUAGCGCGUUCACUUAGUAGAGAGAAGUUCCCCGUGUGCAGGGCCACUAGACAGUUUUCUGAAAAUUGUGAAGCUGCCUUAUGGGAUUGGGGGUCGGGGUAAACCUAGGCAGUCCCAAGACCUGAGAAAUGUUUACUUUCCAGGACACGGAAUAUCUCAGAUAUCUGAAUCCCUGUCUACACUCCUGAUGAGCUGUGUGAUCUUGAACAAAUUUCCAUCUGCCCUGCUUAUCUUGCACUAAAUGGGGUGAACAUUAAAUAUUAAAAGAGCUAUGAAAUUAAACUAGCAAUACAGGAAAUAUUCGGGUGUCUAGCCCCUGUGCCCCAGAAAGGAUAAAGAAGCCAGAUCACUCUUUGGAACCACUUUUUCUGCAUGCACUUAAACAGUGAGGAAUUGCAACCAAAGUAAAGGUUGUUUUACCAGUUGAACAUUGUGGAAUAGUCCCUGAUCCCCCUGAGUUUUUUUUUUUUUUUAUGAAAAUUGCUUACAGUAAAAAAAAAAAA
rnacentral:lncRNA from 1 species